rnacentral:rRNA from 1 species
UACGUAGGUCCCGAGCGUUGUCCGGAUUUAUUGGGCGUAAAGCGAGCGCAGGCGGUUAGAUAAGUCUGAAGUUAAAGGCUGUGGCUUAACCAUAGUACGCUUUGGAAACUGUUUAACUUGAGUGCAAGAGGGGAGAGUGGAAUUCCAUGUGUAGCGGUGAAAUGCGUAGAUAUAUGGAGGAACACCGGUGGCGAAAGCGGCUCUCUGGCUUGUAACUGACGCUGAGGCUCGAAAGCGUGGGGAGCAA